rnacentral:tRNA from 7 species
GGGCACGUAGCUCAGUUGGUUAGAGCACUUCACUGAUAAUGAAGAGGUCGAUGGUUCGAGUCCAUCCGUGCCCA